rnacentral:rRNA from 1 species
UACGUAUGGGGCAAGCGUUGUUCGGAAUCACUGGGCUUAAAGGGCGCGUAGGCGGGCUCUCAAGUCCGGGGUGAAAUCUUUCGGCUCAACCGGAAAAUAGCCUUGGAUACUGGGAGUCUCGAGGGAGGUAGGGGCGGGUGGAACUUCCGGUGGAGCGGUGAAAUGCGUUGAUAUCGGAAGGAACGCCGGUGGCGAAAGCGACCCGCUGGACCUCUUCUGACGCUGAGGCGCGAAAGCCAGGGGAGCAAACGGG